AUGAAUGUUCCACAACAGUUGACUGGCUCUGUGGACUGUGGGAUCUUCAUGCUGAUGUAUGCUCUGCACAUGGUCUUUGAGGCACCCUUUGAUUUUACAGCUUCGGAUUUUCCUGUAAUUCGAAAAUGGUGGUGCCUUAUUCUCAUGGAGAAUUUUGCCACUGAAAGGAAACAUGCUGCCGUUGAUGUGCAGGAGCCACCUAAAGCACAAGAAGACACCGAAAUCGGCGACAUGGAACCACAGAUGGCCAAAGACCUCAGGACCGCAGUUGGAUGGCUGCGGAACAACUGCCACUCCUUCAGAGGUUUUGUGCAAGAGCCGUCAUAUCUGGACCUAGAGAAGGAAGACCAGGAAGAGGCCCUUCUUAAACUUGAUCGGGCGGAAAGAAAAGAUGAUCUGGAACUGGCCAAAGAGCCUUUCAUGUUUCGGUUCCAGUUUCAACAGGACAUGGAAGUUUUUCUUUUCAAAUGUCACGACGAAAGGCACCUCAGAAUAAACUCCAUGUGUAUGGAGUUUUAAUUUAUGUUAUUUAUUUUUCUCUUGAGAAUUAUUGCUGUCAAAUUUGUGCCUGUAUAACUUUUAUAAGAUUUAUUUUCUUUGGUUUGAUUUUGUUUUAUAUAAUUUAUUUAUUUAGUUUGAUUUUGUAAUUUUAUUUAAUUAGAAAACAGCAAGUGUGUGAUUUAUUUAAAACUCAUUUUAUUUAAAUUAAUAUUUUUUUGUGUUUUCAGUCCAUCAUAUUAUUGUGUAUGGUGGUCUAUGUUGGUUGAGUAUUUAAAGUUAUUUUCAAUUGAAUAAAAUGUUCAAUCUCUCAAGCUUUGUUUUCAUUGGAUUAUUUAUUUUUAAUUUUAUGCUUUGUCUAAUGUAUAAUAUUGUUAAUCAAUCUUAAAUAUACAUUUUCAAUUAAAUCGUUUAAAACAAAGUCUUUAUAGUAACGUUGUUUUAAACUUUAAAACGUUCCAAAACACGGAAGUAGCGUAAUUCC
ensembl:lncRNA